rnacentral:rRNA from 1 species
GGACCUACGGGAGGCAGCAGUGAGGAAUAUUGGUCAAUGGCCGAGAGGCUGAACCAGCCAAGUCGCGUGAGGGAAGAAUGUCCUAAGGAUUGUAAACCUCUUUUGUCGGGGGGCAAAAAGGCUCUGCGGAGUCGUAUUGAGAGUACCCGAAGAAAAAGCAUCGGCUAACUCCGUGCCAGCAGCCGCGGUAAUACGGAGGAUGCGAGCGUUAUCCGGAUUUAUUGGGUUUAAAGGGUGCGUAGGCGGGAUGCCAAGUCAGCGGUAAAAAUGCGGUGCUCAACGCCGUCGAGCCGUUGAAACUGGCG